rnacentral:RNase_P_RNA from 1 species
GUUGUCCGGAAGAUGGCGUGGGGGGUGACCCACAGGUCCCUGUGACCUCGUUCCCCCGGGAAGGUCUGAGAAAAGGCCACGCUCUCCAUCUCAGGGUAGGAAGCGUUGGGUUCGAGAAGGACCCCGGUCGUGAGAGCGGGAGGCUGUAACAGAAACGUGACCCUGCGGGGUUUGAACCACAGCCUCGGUCGGCAGUUCCUGAGUGCGAUUGCCACCGAACACAAUUCAGACUAGUCUUCGGACAAC